ensembl:miRNA aca-mir-140 aca-mir-140
CCUUCCUCUCUCUGUGUCCUUCCAGUGGUUUUACCCUAUGGUAGGUUACGUCAUGCUGUUCUACCACAGGGUAGAACCACGGACGGGAUGCCGGGGCUCUCUGCG